AGUGAACGCUGGCGGUAGGCCUAACACAUGCAAGUCGAACGGCAGCACAGUAAGAGCUUGCUCUUACGGGUGGCGAGUGGCGGACGGGUGAGGAAUACAUCGGAAUCUACUUUUUCGUGGGGGAUAGCGUAGGGAAACUUACGCUAAUACCGCAUACGACCUACGGGAGAAAGCAGGGGAUCUUCGGACCUUGCGCGAUUGAAUGAGCCGAUGUCGGAUUAGCUAGUUGGCGGGGUAAAGGCCCACCAAGGCGACGAUCCGUAGCUGGUCUGAGAGGAUGAUCAGCCACACUGGAACUGAGACACGGUCCAGACUCCUACGGGAGGCAGCAGUGGGGAAUAUUGGACAAUGGGCGCAAGCCUGAUCCAGCCAUACCGCGUGGGUGAAGAAGGCCUUCGGGUUGUAAAGCCCUUUUGUUGGGAAAGAAAAGCAGCAGGUUAAUACCCCGCUGUUCUGACGGUACCCAAAGAAUAAGCACCGGCUAACUUCGUG
rnacentral:rRNA from 1 species